GUCCUGGUAGCUCAGUUGGCAGAGCACCUGUACGUGCUGAGCGCCUAGCAAAAACUGUCAGGAGGUCGCAGGGUCGAAGCCUGCCCGGGAUU